rnacentral:misc_RNA from 1 species
GAUGAAGAACGUAGCGAAAUGCGAUACGUAAUGUGAAUUGCAGAAUUCAGUGAAUCAUCGAGUCUUUGAACGCACAUUGCGCCCCCUGGUAUUCCGGGGGGCAUGCCUGUCCGAGCGUCAUUGCUGCCCUCAAGCACGGCUUGUGUGUUGGGCCUCCGUCCUCCUCCCGGGGGACGGGCCCGAAAGGCAGCGGCGGCACCGCGUCCGGUCCUCGAGCGUAUGGGGCUUCGUCACCCGCUCUUGUAGGCCCGGCCGGCGCUUGCCGACACAUCAAUCUUUUUUCCAGGUUGACCUCGGAACAGGUAGGGAUACCCGCUGAACUUAAGCAUAUCAAUCAGCGGAGGA